AAACUGAAGAGUUUGAUCAUGGCUCAGAUUGAACGCUGGCGGUAUGCUUAACACAUGCAAGUCGAACGGUAACAGGCUAGCUUGCUAGCGCUGACGAGUGGCGGACGGGUGCGUAACGCGUAGGAAUCUGCCUAUUAGUGGGGGACAACCUGGUGAAAACCAGGCUAAUACCGCAUACGCCCUACGGGGGAAAGCAGGGGAUCUUCGGACCUUGCGCUAAUAGAUGAGCCUGCGUU
rnacentral:ncRNA from 1 species